rnacentral:rRNA from 1 species
UACAGAGGUCUCAAGCGUUGUUCGGAUUCACUGGGCGUAAAGGGUGCGUAGGCGGUGGGGUAAGUCUGAUGUGAAAUCUCCAAGCUCAACUUGGAAAUGGCAUUGGAAACUACCUCGCUAGAGGAGUGGAGGGGGGACUGGAAUUCUCGGUGUAGCAGUGAAAUGCGUAGAUAUCGAGAGGAACGCCGGUGGCGAAGGCGAGUCUCUGGACACCUCCUGACGCUGAGGCACGAAAGCUAGGGGAGCAAACAGG